rnacentral:rRNA from 1 species
GGUCUGACCUUACUAUCAGUUGUCUCUCAACUUACACAUGCAAGUCUCAGCACCCCCGUGAGGAAGCCCUCUCUCCCUUCACCAGGACGAGGAGCCGGUAUCAGGCGCAACCUCUUUGCCCACAACCCCUAGUUCUACCACACCCCCAAGGGUAGUCAGCAGUGAUAAACAUUGUUUAUAAGCGACAGCUUGACCCAGUUAGAGAGAAGAAAGUUGGCCAACUCGGUGCCAGCCGCCGCGGUUAUACCCCAUGAACUUGAAUUGAUAAUAAUCGGCGUUAAGCGUGAUUAAAGUUAACCCACAAUUAGAGUUAAACAUCUGCCCCAGCUGUGAAAAGCACGCAUGAUUGAAAGCCACAAACGAAAGUUACUCUAAUAACUCUKGAAUCCACGACAGUUAGGAGAACAAAC